rnacentral:tRNA from 1 species
GUGAGUGUAGCUCAGCUGGAUAGAGCGUCUGACUACGGAUCAGAAGGCCGCGUGUUCGAAUCAUGUCACUCACAUCA